GUCCCAACAGAGACCCACGGGAGGAAGGAGGGCCUCUCAGCAGAGACCAGAGAUAAAACCCAGGCUAAGCCAACCCUCCUGCUCCCAGACCCCUCAUUUUAGCAUCGCAUGCCUCCCAGAGAACGGAUGCAGCCUUGAGGUGGAGGACCCUGACUGGAGCAAGGGAGCAGGUUCACGGCGGGUCUUGGACAGGACAAGCAUUACUAUUCACCAGCAGCCCCGGGAACUCUCCCUGAGGCCUCCACUCCAGUCACUUCAUAACCUGGCAAGAAUAGUGUCACUUUCUGGGGUUUUCAGCACUGAUGACACUCGUUUCUUCAUGAAAAAGCCUGGGUCACCUGAGGACGCUUCUUGCAUGGAUCCAGCUGGCCUGCACCUUCCUGUCACCAAUUCCCUGUGUUCCCUCCAGGGGGGCUGACCAUCG
rnacentral:lncRNA from 1 species